rnacentral:snRNA from 1 species
ACACUUACCCGGCAGGGGAGAUACCAUGAUCAUGAAGGUGGUUUUCCCAGGGUGAGACUUAUCCACUGUAUUCCAGAUGAGCUGACCUGAGAUUUCCUCAAAUGUGGGAAACUUGGGAGAAAAAAA